AAUGGGGAUAGAGGCGCAAAACGAAUGAGUAAGGUAUCUGAGCAUAUAAUGGAUUGCGAAGAAGAUAUCUGAAAGGUCAAUUUGCCGAAGUGGGAUAAAGGACCAACCUUUUCUUGCUGGGCUGCUGCUGAAUAGGCUGCAGACUGUCACUGUUAGAUGGAUAUCUUUCAGUGGUGAGCUAAUCCAACU
rnacentral:ncRNA from 2 species